GAUGAACGCUAGCGGCAGGCCUAACACAUGCAAGUCGAGGGGCAGCGGGAAUGAAGCUUGCUUCAUUUGCCGGCGACCGGCGCACGGGUGCGUAACGCGUAUGUAACCUACCUUAAACAGGGGCAUAACACUGAGAAAUUGGUACUAAUUCCCCAUAACACUUCGGGUGGCAUCUUCUGUAGUCGAAAGUUCCGGCGGUUUAAGAUGGACAUGCGUUGUAUUAGUUAGUUGGUGAGGUAACGGCUCACCAAGACGACGAUACAUAGGGGGACUGAGAGGUUAACCCCCCACAUUGGUACUGAGACACGGACCAAACUCCUACGGGAGGCAGCAGUGAGGAAUAUUGGUCAAUGGACGCAAGUCUGAACCAGCCAUGCCGCGUGCAGGAAGACGGCUCUAUGAGUUGUAAACUGCCUUUGUAUGAGGGUAAACCUAGGUACGUGUACCUAGCCGAAAGUAUCAUACGAAUAAGGAUCGGCUAACUCCGUGCCAGCAGCCGCAGUAACAC
rnacentral:rRNA from 1 species